rnacentral:hammerhead_ribozyme from 1 species
AUCCAGCUGACGUGUCCCAAAUAGGAGGAAACGUGCGUCCUGGAU